UACGGAGGGUGCUAGCGUUGUUCGGAAUUACUGGGCGUAAAGGGCGCGUAGGCGGCCGUUUGCGUCGGAUGUGAAAGCCCGGGGCUCAACCUCGGAACGGCAUCCGAUACGGGACGGCUGGAGACCGGGAGAGGAGGGUGGAAUAGCCAGUGUAGAGGUGAAAUUCGUAGAUAUUGGCUGGAACACCGGUGGCGAAAGCGGCUCUCUGGCCCGGUUCUGACGCUGAGGCGCGAAAGCGUGGGGAGCAAACAGG
rnacentral:rRNA from 1 species